GUAACACGUGAGUAACCUGCCCUUGACUCUGGGAUAAGCCUGGGAAACUGGGUCUAAUACCGGAUACGACCAUUGCCCGCAUGGGUUGGUGGUGGAAAGCUUUUGUGGUUUUGGAUGGACUCGCGGCCUAUCAGCUUGUUGGUGAGGUAAUGGCUCACCAAGGCGACGACGGGUAGCCGGCCUGAGAGGGUGACCGGCCACACUGGGACUGAGACACGGCCCAGACUCCUACGGGAGGCAGCAGUGGGGAAUAUUGCACAAUGGGCGAAAGCCUGAUGCAGCGACGCCGCGUGAGGGAUGACGGCCUUCGGGUUGUAAACCUCUUUCAGUAGGGAAGAAGCGAAAGUGACGGUACCUGCAGAAGAAGCGCCGGCUAACUACGUGCCAGCAGCCGCGGUAAUACGUAGGGCGCAAGCGUUAUCCGGAAUUAUUGGGCGUAAAGAGCUCGUAGGCGGUUUGUCGCGUCUGCUGUGAAAGGCCAGGGCUCAACCCUGGUUCUGCAGUGGGUACGGGCAGACUUGAGUGAUGUAGGGGAGACUGGAAUUCCUGGUGUAGCGGUGAAAUGCGCAGAUAUCAGGAGGAACACCGAUGGCGAAGGCAGGUCUCUGGGCAUUAACUGACGCUGAGGAGCGAAAGCAUGGGGAGCGAACAGGAUUAGAUACCCUGGUAGUCCAUGCCGUAAACGUUGGGCACUAGGUGUGGGGGACAUUCCACGUUUUCCGCGCCGUAGCUAACGCAUUAAGUGCCCCGCCUGGGGAGUACGGCCGCAAGGCUAAAACUCAAAGGAAUUGACGGGGGCCC
rnacentral:rRNA from 1 species